rnacentral:rRNA from 1 species
GACUAUACCUAUACUAUACCUAUACUAUACCGAUCUCAUCUGAUCUUGGAAGCAAAGCAAGGCCAGGCCUGGUUAGUAGUUGUAUGGGAGACCCUUGAGAAGACCAGGUGCUGCAGUGG